GUGACAGUCACCACCAUUGGCCAGUUUCAUGGAGCCACACAUUCCACAGGAGGCUCUGACCCUGCCUGCACCCGCUCUGCAAGGCGCUCUGUGCACCCUCAAGUCCUAUCCAUGUAGCUGCCUUAGUAUCUCUCAAUCCCCCCACUUCUCUCCAUCCCCAUAUCCACCACCCCAAGCUGCCUCUGGCUCAGGGCGGAGGGAAAUGCUUGGGAAAUAAUUAGCUGGAGGCCUCUCAUAAGGCUGGGCGAUGACCUCCAGCCUGGCUUCCAGCUUCCACUCUGGACUCCAACAAUCCAUUUUCCACCCUGUCACCAGAAUACUCUUUCAAAAUGCCAGUCUAAUCACAUCAUCCCCAGAUGACAGCUUCAAUGGCUGUAGUCCAUUGCUCCUCGGAUAAAGACCAGAUUCCUCCUCCAGGAAGCCUUCCUGGCCGCACACUCGAAAGCCCCACUUCAUGGCACCACACGCCUCUGACUGCCGUUCUUGCAGGCGAUUGUGGGCCCACCAUCUGCCUCCCCGGAAUCACGGCGCCUCCAGGAACCACUCUAUCCCUGCACUCCACCAAGAGCAUGUGCUCUGAGAACGCAUCUGUGGGUGGAAUGAACAAGUCCACUCUCGUGGCCGUGCAAAGCCAGUGUCAGAGCAGCGUCACAGCCUGGCUGCGGAGCAUCGCUGUUCCUGAUCCUCGCCUCCCUGUUGGGAUUCAGGCACCUCCACGCACCCACCCCGUGAAGGCGUCGGUCAUCCUGAGUGCUGAGGAUGGCGUGACCCCUCCGGUUCUGUUAUCAGGGAGAUAGACAUGGUUCAUAGUCUAAAGAAUUCCUGGGGAAAUAGCUCAGCAGACAGCAGCGGUCCCCUGGGAAUCCUGCCCGGCUGCCUGCACUCCUUGCCCGCAGCUGUCACGUGACCACACUGUUACCACCGCCACCCGUCAGGGAGUAAGCCUCCUGGGGCCGUUUUGCAGACAGCUGUUCCAGGUCUUGUCAUAAACUAUUUCCACCUGGAGGCCUUCCCGACGCCCACCCACCCCAGGCCGCCGGGCUCCCUCAGGCCCUCCUCACCCUCGGAACGCCCUGCCCUGUGUCUGAGAGCGGGGCGGGGUCUGCCUCGAGGACGAGGAACCAACCACCUCGUCAGCCCCGUGCCUCCUGUCGUGGGCGCUUCGUCAUGACUGGAGCCAGGAGGAGGAGGCCAGGCUGCCCGGGGCACCCAUGGUCUCUGAGCAGUGGGCCGCCCACCUGAGCUGGAUGACCUGCAGCAGGCAGACUGAGAGGACACAGGUGGUUGUGAAGACAAGACCUGAUGUCCCAGCAGGCUCAGCUCCACGAAGAGGAGCAGACAGGCCUGGGUUUGGACAUCACACGUGUUGGUUGCCUCCCCAAAGUGAGCAGGGGGCAGCCCUGGGAAAGAGCAGAGGGUGGAGGUGGUAUGGUUCGAAUUAAGCUGUUUAUGCGGUCCCUGUCCAGUGACCAAUGGAGAAGUGGCGGGGAAGUGUGGUUUCAAUUUUCCACCUGGGAUCAGACAUCCCGUGGCUCUGCCAGCCUCCCCUGGGAGGGGCAUGUCGUCCCAGUGGCCUCGGGAGCCCAGGAAGGUGGUUCUUGACCGUCACGCCU